ensembl:lncRNA
GCCUAUAAUUGAGUCUUGGGUUUUUCUUUUUUUAUUUCAAUCUGACAAUCUCUGCCUUUUCAUUGGAGUACUUAGUCUAUUUACAUUUAAUGUAACUAUUGACACAGAUUAAAAUCUAUUUUCUUGCUAUUUGUGUUCUAUUUGUCUUAUCUAAUCUUUAUUUACUUUUUCUGCUUUAUCUCUUUUUUGGUUUAUUGGGAUCUUUUUUUAUGAUUUCAUCUUGUUUCCUUUGUUGGCUUCAUGAAGUUCCCAUUUUGCUGGUAGGGUCAGGCAGUAUUCCCAGCCCUGUCUGAGCACCAGGCACUGCUGUUUCUAGUUCUUUCAGGUGCUUCCUUCCCUGCCCGUGGGUAAUUCCCUCACAUUCAUCUGCUGAUCAGCACUCAGCUGAAUAGUGCAGAUCUUUGUGUUUCUCUCUCUGUGCUGCUGUCUUCUCGCUAGUGCUCUGUCCUCUGAGCCUCCCCACACUCAGCAUUUUCUCUCAACUCAGGGAGUCCACCAGGCUCUGCCUCGGUUUCCCUUCCCUGCGCUGUAGCCUGGAAACUCUAGGCAGUGAGGUAAGGCAGAUGUAGGGCUCACCUUCUUUGUCCCUUGUCUCAGGGGUCACUGUUCUUUGUUACUUGUUGGUCAGUGUCUUGGAAUCCAUUGUUUCAUUUAUUUUGUCCAUUUUUGGUGGUUUCGUGCGGGAGGGUGAAUCUGUUCCCUGUUGCUCCAUCUUGGCCCAACAAGCUGGUUGGAUUAUUGAUUCAAAGUUUAAACAGAAGUUGAAACACACACACACACACACUCAAUAAAGUUAAGUUUGAGGGACUCCUUGGCAAGUUCGAGAAUGUUACUUGUAAUUGUUUUCUACCCUGUUUCGAUUUAGAGUAUUUUUAAGUUCAUGUGGCUUGUGCACUGCAGCAGCAUCACUGCUGACAAAAACCUCUAACAGUGAAUGUUUUCUGCGCGGAGUGUAGUUUGUCAGCCAUUCGUGUGACUUGGUUUGGCCGGGCUGUGGGUUCUUUUGCCGGUCGGACAGCAGCCUGGUGCACAUGCUGUAGACGGACAUGUUUUCCCUUUCCUUUACACUCGCACACAUGUCAGGCCUUCAGUCAUGAUGAGCAAGCUCGAGCUUUUCAAAAAGCCAGAUAAUUUUGAGUUGCCGUCUGGAAUGAUUUUCGUGCAACUGUGGAAACUUCGCUGUGAGUAAAUUGUAAAGUUCCAGUCUGCCGUUUUCACCAGUUCUUGGUCUUAUGAACAGCUGCCCCCAUGUUAGAGAGCUGAGGAUAUUUUAUAUCCACUCUGCUCUGUGGAUAACUUUCGGACCUACCUUUGCUAACACUUGGAAGAUUAUCCAGUAAAGCUAGUAGUCCUUGUCAGCAAAACCGCUUAAAUGUAUUGAUGACUUUACUCCAUUUAAGUAACCCUAUGGGGUCUAACUCAGGAAGUGAGAAAAUUCCGAGUUAAAUUUGCUUGUUUCACCCCGUAGGGUGGAGAUGUUACGGCUCGUCUGCUGAGUGAGAUCCCCACUGUGAGAACCUAAUGAAUACUAGCUGAUGGUGUGGACCCCUGACAAAACCCUUUUAUUUUGCCUUUCUUUGGUCACUGUUCAUUCUAAACAAUUGUAGCCCACUCCUCAAGAAACUACUUAUUUAAUUCUUUCACUCAUUUUUUUAUUUUAGAAAUAGUCUGUGGAGCUACUUUCAUUGUCUGUUGUACUAAGUUUCACUAUUCAGCCAUCCUCCCAUCUAGAGAAAGGAAAUUUAUCAAUAAUAAUUCAUUUUUGGUUAUAGCUCUAAUACAGGUGUUUCCUCUGCCAGAUGCAUGUAGCCUGAAUCAUUGCUAGUUUUUGGCAGACUUCUUUGUAUAUGACACAGAAAAGUCAAGAUGAGGUUAGAGUAAGUUAGGAGGUAGUUUUCCAUGGUUGGGGGCUCUUUCAGGUGUCUCUUGUGCUCAGCAGAGACACUGGAGGGACCAUACCUUGGCAUCUGCCUCUUUAAUUACGAGGUGCUCAGACUGAAUGAGGCACAGACCAGCAGGUACUUUUUGGUUGACUAACAUGUGAGCUGUGUGUGUAUUUAACUGAAAAGAAAUGAAGGGAGGUUUACACUAAGACAUAAAAUUGUUGGUAUUUUCAAAGUAUCCUUUAUUUAGAGGAAAUUAUAAUUCAACUGGUAAAAUCUGAGCAGUGUGCCCCAUCAUUACCUUCAUGGCCAUGACUGUGGCUUCCGUCUUCUUAGAUUUCUCUCUUGUGCUUAUCAUUAAGACCACGUUGUUUAGGCUUUUUUUCCCAAGUGUACAAUGAAGUGAUUUUUUUGUAAAUUUAAUGGUUGUGCAACCAUCACCACCCAGUCUUAAAACAUUUCCAUCAUCUCAGAAAGAUCUCUUGUGUCCAUUUAUAGUCACUCCCAUUCCUACCCUACCUCCAGGCAAUUGCUAAUCUACUUUCUAUCUCUAGUUUUGCUUUUUCUGGACAUUUCUUCUAGUGGAAUCACACAAUGUGUGGUUUUGCUGCUGGCUUCUUUCGCUUAGCAUAAUGUUUUUGAGAUCAUUCAAGAUGAAGCAUGUAUCAGUAGCUUGUUCCUUUUUAUUACUAAAUAAUAUUCAUUGUAUGAAUAUACUACAAUUGUUGGUCCAUUCAUCAGUUGAUAGUCAUUAGGGCUAUUUUCUCUUUUGGCUGUUAUGAAUAGUGCUGAAAAUUCACCUACAGAUCAUUGUGUGGACAUAUGUUUUAAUUUCUCUUAGAUAGACAUCCAGGACUGGAAUUCCGGGUUCCUCUGGUAAGUUUAUGUUUAACUUUCUAAGAAACGGCCAAACUGUUCUCCAAAGUGGCAGCACCGUUUUGCAUCCCCACCAGCAACCUGUAAGGGUUCCAGUUUGUCUACAUCCUCAUAUUGUCUGUGUCUUUAAUUAUAGUCAUUCUAGUAGAUAUGAAGUUAGGUAUCUUACAGCAGUUUUAAUUUGCACUUCCCUAGUGACUAAUGAUAUUGAAUGUCUUUUCAUAUGCUUAUUGAUCAUUCAUAUCUUUUUUGGUGAACUGUCUGUUCAAAUCUUUGGCCCAUUUAAAAAAAUGGCUUUAUGUAUAAUUUACAUGCCAUAAACUUCACUCUUAAAAUGCACAGAUCAGUCGUUUUCAGAAUACUUACAGAGUUGUGUGACUAUCACCCUAAUCUAAUUCCAGAACAUUUUCAUCACCCCCAAAAAACCCUGGUACUCAUCAGCAGGUACUCCCCAUCCUCCUCCUCCAGCCCUAAGCCACCACCAAUCUACUUUCUGUCUCUAUCGGUUUGCUCAUUCUGGACACUUCAUAUAAAUGGAAUCAUACAAUAUGUGGUCUUUGUGACUGGCUUCUUUCACUUAGCAUAUUAAUGUUUUUGAGGUCCAUCCAUAUGGAAGCAUGUAUCAGUAUUUUAUUCUUUUUUGUUGCUACACUUAAAUUGUAUGGCUAUACGACUCUUGUUUAUCUCUGUAUCAGUCGGUGCACAUUUGGGUUGUUUGCGUUUUUAGAAUUUUGUGGGUAAUGCUGCUGUGGACAUUCAUGUACAAGUUUUUGCAGACAUUUGUCUUGCUUUCUCUUGGGCAGAUUCCUAGUUGUGGAAUUGCUGGGUCACGUGGUACCUCUGUGCUUAACAUUUUGAGGAAUGACCAGCUGUUUCCAAAGCAGCCGCACCAUUUAAAUUCCCAGUAGCAAUGAACAAAGGUUCCAGUUUCUCCGCGUUCUUGCUCAUACUUGUUAUGGUCUGCCUUUUUUGUUAUACUCGUUCUAGUAGGUGAGAAGUGGUAUCCAGUUGUGGUUUUGAUUUGCAUUUUUCUAAUGACUAAUGAUGUUGAACAUCUUUUCAUGAACUUAUUGGCCUUUUGUAUCGUUAGUUGGAGAAAUUACUAUUCAAAUCCUUUGCCCGUUUAAAAACUUAUGUGUUUCCUUGUUGAGUUGAAAGCCUUGUUUCUGUAUUCUAGGUACUAGUCCUCUAUCAUAUAUGAUGUGUAAACAUUUUCUCCAAGAACGUGGCUUGUCUUUUCACUUUCUUAAUGGUAUCUUUUGAAGGCCGAAAGUUUUGAAUAUUGAUGAAAUCUGAUUUAUCAAUUUGUUUCUUUCAUAGAUCAUGCUGCCAGUGUUGUAUCUAAGAAGUCUUUGCCUAACUGUGAAGCACAGAGAUUUUCUCCUAUGUUCUCUAAAAAUGUUUUGCAUUUAGCUCUUAUAUUUAGGUCUCAUUCAUUCUGAGUUAAUUUUUGUGUAUGGUGUGUGGUAGGGCCUAAGUUCCUUCUUUGCUCGUGGUUAUUGAAUUGUGCCAGCACCAUUUCCUGUAAAGACCAUUCUUUCUCCAUUGAAUUAUCUUGGCACCCUGUCAAAAGUGAAUUGAACAUAAAUAGAAGGGUUUAUUUCUGGAUUCUCAGUUCUGUUCAUUUACCUACAUGUUAUUUCCUAUGUCAGUAUCAAACUGUCUUGAUUACUGUAGAUUUAUGUUAAGUUUAUAUUACAUUAUAUUCUGAAAUCUUUUUCAUACAUUGUUUAGUUUUUGGUGCUGCUUUAGCUGUGUUUUUCAGUCUCGUCUCCCCAGUUAGACUGAGAGUACAUGAAGACCCAGCUCGGUCGUUUCAGAUCACCGGACUUCAUGCAAGUUUGUUAAUAAGGUUCUUUCCUCAACUGCAAAAAGAAAUAAAUUUCCUGCCCUUCCUGUGUCACAGGAUUAUUGUGAGAAUCAAAUGAAAUAAAGGUGGGAACACUCUAAACUGUCGUUUUUAUAAUUACAAGGGCCAUUUAUUACCUUUCACUUCUUGUAAGUAAAUCUGCAUGCCUGCCCUCCUUAAGGUCCUUGGUUUUCAGGGAGGAUAAUGUAGGUUUACAGUGCACUUGGUAAAUCUCGAAGCCUAAAAUUAAUCCUCAGUAUGUCUGCUGUGUGCCUUUGUGGUUUUUAUUUUAACUAGAAGUAAGAGUGGUUUUCUUGGGUCUUCUCUGAUGGCUUCCUCGAGGUAACUGGCUCUCAUAGAAGUGGGUUGGCACUCUUCCUCUGAGCCCUGCCUGCCUUGCUUGUCUCUCAGAAACGGUGUUCUCUUUACCAAGCUGGACUUGGUCACAAGUGGACUGAAUGCUCGUGCACAGUAAGUCAAGGAGUCUUCUAAGUGGCCAGCGCUGAAUCAAGCACAGCAUCGAGAUGUUACGAUCCGUUUGGUUAAAGUCCUCAUGUGCCCUGAGAGCCUGGGGGGUGAGGACGCAAACCCUGACGUGUGGUCUGCUCUGUGGUUGACGCUGGGCCAGAUUUCACUGGGCCGUGGAAAGCAGACCUCCAGGAGCGCAAGGUUGUUUUCCACAUGCAAAUGUCAUCGAGGAGGAAUCUUCACUUGAUGGAAACCAUGCUUUCUUUCUAAAUGGCAGUCUGUGGCGCCUUAUUAAUUUCGCUCCAUCCAGCAUUAAUGGUUCUGUGUUCAGGGCUGAUGGGUGUCCGUAUCAGCUACUCCAGCAAGAGUAAAUUUUCUCAUCUAUGGUAGAAUUAAAACUAAACUAAAUUAAAAACUCUCACUCAGCACACUGUUUCUGCUAACUAGGAUUCAGUUAACCAGCGUUACACAUUUAUAAUACAAAUGAUCUUUAGGAUAAAGGCCAUUACUCAAUAAAAGUUCUCAAAAUACCUUCAAAAUGAGAGAUUAGAUUAUUGUGUGUGCCCGUGUGGAGGGAGAGAGAGGUACCAUUAAUUGCAUUCCUGAGUUCUAAUGCUUUACACUGGUAUUCUAAUUUACAGUAUAUAUACUUAACUCAUAUUAGCAAAGUAUGUAUGUGCUUAAUUCAAGGUGUUUAAUUUUUAAGAAUGCGCUGUUUUCUUACACAUGCUUUUCUUUCGAAGAGUUCAAAGAAGCUGGUGUCUUUUUCCUUUAUUAUCCACGUUCUUCUUGAGCACAGAGAGUGGAAAAAUGGGUUUCGAGAGGUGGCUGCGUGCCCCAGUUCGGCCGACAGCAGAGCCGGCCCGGCCUGUGCUUCCUGUGCAUGUACGUACUCCCUCUUCACUCGCUCGCUGCCGUGUUCCCAGGUGUGUCAUGAAACUGGAGGGCUCACUCUCGUCAGCAAGGAAACCGAGGCUUUGAAUUUCAUUUCUGCCCAACUGUGAAGUCUUGAACACCCCCUCCCUCCCCUGCGCCUCACUCAUCAAGCCCCCUGGAGCCCCAUCACUUCCAAUGAAGGAAGCAGUCCAUGGCAGCAAAGGUGUCAUCGCGCCUCCUCACUGGAGGGCGCUUGUCUUUCCAAGACCUGCGCCAACUCUGUUCCAUUGUCAAGGCAACACAUACAUAUUUUACAUUUUAAUUUAUGCAUCUUAUCAAAUGCUCUUUCUUGCUCAACCACGUUCCUGUUUCAGCUGUUCUCUGGCGAGGUUGCUGUUCGAUUGAUGUUCAGUUAUUGUUAAGUAGUGGGGUCUUUGCAUAUACUCAGGAUUUUAAUUUUGUUUAUGUAGUGCAAGUGCCUUCUUAUUUGGGCAGUAAAUCUUCACCUGCCUUUAUGAAGGCUGACAGAGCCUCUCUAGAAGGGAGUAUGAGAGAGUGAAUCAUGUAACACAAGCAUCUCAGAGUUAAAGGCCUCUGCAGCCCUCAUUCUCCUUUGGUCCAGGCCAAGCCGUGAUAACUGGACUAUUUGCCAAGUAAGUUUACAAGUCAGUGUCAGAUGCAGUUAGCUCUCCAUAAGCCACAGUAAAUAACAGAAAGUACAAAUAAUUUCAUCCACUCAGCUGGGUGAGGUCCACCAGGCAGGUGAUCCCCACAUUCCCUGAGGAGCCCACCCCUCACCGACCACCAAGGUAUCAGUAUAGCUCCCCCUUUCGCCUGCUGCAGGUUGUGGGGACCCCACCACCUGAGCCCCUCGAAGAAAGUCAGCUCGUCACCAUGGAAGACACAAGUCUGCCAACCGUAAUGUGCCGAGUGUUACUUGCCCCACACAGAGAUGGUUUAGAAUGUAGUUCCAGAGUGUUUCAGAUUCCACCCAGAAAGUAUAGGUUCCAGUUCUUAGUUAUCCAUCCGUGUCCCUGUGCUUUCCUUUUUGGUAGGUCUGAUGUCAAGGGAAAUGAUAUUAUUGCUGUUCACCAACUAUGAUGUUACUCGGGGCAGGGGGGAGAGUUGAAACAGUAUAAAAUGACAUGGGGCAUAUUUAAUAUUUCCACUUUUUCCCUUUAGCCCGGAAUAUUGAAAGUUGUCAUCAAACCAAUUUUAACACACCACACCUCUUUUUACAGUACAGAGACUGAGCAGAUCCUGAAUAACCAGAGAUCCAGGUCCUUGCCUUAUCUUCUUCAAUACUUUGAUCUAAGUGAAGACAUAGAAGGCUAUUUGCAAAAGUCAUGAAGGUGGCUAAUGUGAUUACUGCAACAGGCAGCAGAAUAAGGAUAGCAUACUAUUGAUACUCUUUUGCACUUUGUUUUUUACUUAACAGUACAUCCUGGAAGUCACAGCACGGCAGCCACAGAGCUCUUCUUCCUUCCCAUCACAGCUGCAUAGUGCUGCAUUGCCUGGAUGCUCCGUCUUUAUCCAGCCACUGUCCUACAGAUGGGCAUUUGGGUUGUUUCCAAUAUUUUGCAGUUUAACCAAUGCUGCAGUGAGUAACCUUGUGCAUUUUUUUUUUCAUGUUGUAGGUAUACCUGUAGGGUGGAUUCCUGGAGGUGUAAUUUCUGGGCUGAAAAGUGUGUAUGUAACUUUAUUAGGUACCACCAAAUUUCCCUGCAGAAUUUGCAUUUCCACCAGCAAUGUAGGGGAUGUCUGUUUCUCAGGCCUCACCAACAGAGGCGGCAUCACACUUUAAAAUUUUUGCUGGUCUGAUAGAUGACAAACGGUGUCCUGAUAUUACCUUAAUUUGCACUUUAAAUAUGAGUGGGUUUGAACAUUUUUUCAUAUGUUUGGGGCCAUUUUUAUAACUUUUUGUCAUCAAUUGUUCAUGUCUUUUUUCCUAUUUGUCUUUUGGGUUUCUGGUCAUUUGUUCUUCAAUUUGUAUGAGAGUUUCAUUUAUUAAGGUUGUUAGCCCUUUUUCUGUGGGAUAUGUUGCAAAUAUUUUUCUCCAAUUUGUUAGUUAUCUUUUUUUUUUUCCUGAGGAAGAUUGGCCAUGAGCUAACUUCUGUUGCCAGUCUUCCUUUUUUUGUGCUUGAGGAAGAUUAGCCCUGGGCUAACAUCUGUGCCAGUCUUCCUCCACUUUGUAUAUGGGUCACCGACACAGCAUGGCUGAUGAGUGGUGUAGGUCCAUGUCCAGGAUCUGAACUUGCAAACCCGGGCUGAACUUAGCCAACUAGGCCGCUGGGGCUGGCCCUGUAAAUUAUCUUUUGACUUUGUGUAGGGUUUGUUUUGUUUUGCUAUGCAGAUAUUCUUUAUUUCUGUGUAGUUAAAUUUUUCAGUUUUUGUUUUAUUGCCUCUGGAUUUGAGUCAUAGUUAGAGGGUCUUUUUCUACACCAAGGUUCAGGAGCAUUCACUCAUGUUUUCUUCUAGGAAGGAUAUAGUUUCACUGUUUUACAUUUAGAUCACUAAUUCAUUUGAGGUUCAUUUUUGUCUGUGGUGUGAGAUACAGAUCUAGUUUUACCGUUUUCCAAAUGGCUUCCCACUUGUCCUAGCACCAUAUGUUGAAAAGUCCGUCUUUCUCCCAGUGGCUGGAGAUGCCACAUUUCCAUAUACAUUCAGAUUUAUUCCUGGGCUUUUUAUUCUAUCCCACUGGCCUAUUUGUCUGCUUAUCACCAGGACCACUCAGUUUAGUUAUAAAGUCUUUAUGGUAUGUUUUAAUGUCCAGUAGUUGUGGUUUUCCUGGCUAUUCUUGCGUAUUUGUUUUUCCAUGUAACCUUGAGAAUCAACUUGUAUAAGUCUAUGCAAUAGUUUAUUGGUAUUUUUACUGGGAUUAUGUUGAGUUUAUAAAUUAGAGAGAACCAUCAUCCUAUAAUGUUGAGUUAUCCUAUCCAAGAUUAGAGAAUGCCUUUUCAUUUGUUCAUAUCUACUUUUAUGUCUUUCAAGAAUGUAUUAAAUUCUCCUUGUAUAGGUUUUGUGCAAUUCUUAAUAAAUUUAUUCUAGAGGCUGGCCCCAUGGCUGAGUGGUUGAGUUUGUGCGCUCUGUUUCAGCGGCGCAGGGUUUCGCUGGGUCAAAUCCUCAACGCAGACAUGAUACUGCUCAUCAGGCCAUGCUAAGGUGGCAUCCCACAUAGCACAACCAGAAGGACUGACAACUAGAAUACAUAGCUAUGUACUGGGGGACUUUGAGGAGAAGAAAAAGAAGGAGAAAAAAAAAAGAUUGGCAACAGAUGUUAGCUCAGGUGCCAAUCUUAAAAAAAAAAUUUAUUCUAAAACAUUUAAUCUUUAUUGUCAUUAUUUUAAAUGGAGUUUCCUCUAACUACUUACUGUUUUAUAUUGGAAAGCUGUUGAUUUUUCUAUGUUAAUUUUGUAUCCUGCCAUUCAACGGCUUCUUUUAUUGAGUUUUAUCAUUGAUUCUUUGGAGGUUUCCAGAUAUACUUUAUGAUGUCAUCUGCAAAUAGAUAGUUUGACUUCUUCACCCAUUCUUAUGCCUCUCAUUCCUUUCUCUUUUGUAAUGAUGUUAGGUAACAUAAAACCUCUAGGACAGUGGGUGAACAGAAAUGGACAGUGGGCAUCUUUGCCUUGUUCCUGAUCCUAGUGGAAAUGCUACUAGUCCUUCCCCAUUGAAUAAGACACUGGCUUUAGGAUUAAAUUUCUAUGAAGAUCCUGUUAUCUUUUCCUUUGGUUUGUUAAUAUGGUAAAUGACACUGGUGGAUAUCCUGAUACUGAAUCCAUCUUUCAUUUCUCGAAAACAUCCUACUUGGUCAUGGUAUGUAGUUUUCUUAAUGUGGUGUUGGAUCCUGUUUAGUAUUUAAUUUAAUAUUUUUGCAUUGAUAUUCAUGAGUGGUACUGGUCUGUAGUUUUCUUUCUUUGUUGUCUUUAUCUGGUUUAUCAGUGUUAUAUUUUGCUCUGUAAAAGGAGUUGGGAUAUUUUCUGUAGUUCUCGGGGCUCUGGGAUAAUUUGUGUAGAGCAUUGGAACUGUCUGGUAGGUUCAGUAGAAUUCGCCUGUGAAGCCAUCUGGUCCUGGUGCUUCUUGUGGGGUCCUUGUUUAAGAAUCCUCUCUGGGUCUCCUAUGGAAUUCAUCUGCCUAAGAUUUGCAACUCUAAUAGGGUCAGUUUUGGUCAUCUGAAUUUCCUUAGGAAGUUACCCAUUUCAUCUUCCUUUUCAAAUUCAUUUGCAUAGAGGUCUGCAAAGUAGUCUCUUAGGAUUUUUAAAAUUUCUUCCAUUUCAUUGGUUAUUUCCCCCGUGCCAUUUCUUACUCUCUAUGUUUGUGCUUUCUUGCUUUUGUCUUGAUCAACUUAGCUGGUGGUUUGUCUAUUUGGUUAAUUUCCCCCUCAAAAGAACCCAGGAUUUUGAUUUAUUAGUUAGAUCUACUGGUUUUCAACAGAAAAACCUCUCCCUCAUAAAUCAGCUUUUCCAUCCCUGUUUCCUUCCUCAUGUUUUCUUUUGGAUUACUGUUGUUCUUUUUCUUGUUUUCAUGCACUGACAUUUAUUAAUUUAUUAAUUUUAUUCUUUCAUUUUUAUUUGUAAAAGUGUUAGUCUAAUGAGUUGUUCUCUGAUUACUGCUUUAAAUGCAUUCCAUAGAUUCUGAUAUGCAGUGUUUUUUUUGUAAUUAUUUUUUUAAAAUUCUGUACUUUCAGAUUGUAUUUCCUCUUUCACCUGAGAGUCAAUAGUAGAAUUUUUAAACAUCCAGGUGGGGAUGCCUUUCUGUUUUUUGUUUUUAUUAAUAAUGUAUAGUUUUAUUGCAUUGUGAUCGGAAAGUGGUGUUUUCAAUAUUUCUACCUUAUGGAAAUUAUUGUGUUUUCUUUGUGACCUAAUAUAUGAUCAGUUGUUGUGAACGUGCUUUAGGUUCUUGAGAAGAAUGUGUAUUCCCUGUUAUCAGGGUUUGGAGUUCAAUAUAUAUACACAGAUCUACCUUGAUUGAUGACGUUGUUUAGAUCUUCCAUCUCCUUACUUAUUUUUUGCACACGUGCUCUGCCUUGCACUGAGAGUGGUGUAGUAAAUCUCCUAUUGGUAUUAUGUUUCUAACUAUCUCCUUGCAUCUCCUGUAGUGUUUGAUUCAUAGAAGUAGUGGUUGUAUUAUUUGGUGCAUAGAGGUUCACACACAUCAUGUCUUCAUUGUGGUCUGUGGCUUUUAGCAUUAAAUAUGUCCUCUGUUGUGUUUAAUGCUUUGGGGCUUGAAUUCAAUUUGGUCUACUCCUGCCAUCUUUUGUUUUCAUUGGCCAGGUAUAACUUUCUCCAUCCUUUUAAUUUUCAGCCUUUCAGAAUUACUUUUUUAGGAGUGCCUCUUAUAUACAGCAUAUAGUUGGGUCUUGUUUUGUGAGUCAAAUUAAAACCCUUUUUGUUUUAAUAGAUGAGUUAAACCCAUUAAUAUUUAUUCACAGGGCUGAUCUGUUUGCUUGCAACUCUAUCAUAAUUUGUAAUUAUGUGUAUUUUGUUAUAUUUGUGGUUUCCUUCUCUGUGAGAUCUGUAUUCUUUGAUCUUUUAUUGAGAUUUUUAAAUUUGGGUGUAAAAGGACGUGUAUUUUCUAGUGAUUGCUUUUGUAUUUAAACCUAUUUUAAUGUCCUUAGGAACCUGUUGUAUUAUUUAACUCUGUACUGUCUCAUUUAUCAGUUUUUUCUGGUACUGCUUAACACGCAUCUGUUGCUUACACAGUAUUGUCAUAUACAUAAUCAGAAUUUUUCCUCUUUCCCUCCUUCAUUUCCCAUUUCUGCUUUGUUGCAGUACAUAAUAUUUGCAUAUUAGUCUUUCAGCCUAAUCCCACUUUUAUUUUAGUCCUAGAUGUAUAUCUAAAUACUUUUAAAUGCUUACCGUACAUCCUUUUGCUGGAAUUUUCCCAGUCAUCACUUGGUUAGAUAAAACUUACCCUCACACAGAGUCCUCCAGAAGGGCUGAUGGAUGUGGUGUUCUCUAAGCUUGUGUAUUUUGGGAACUGUUUUUCUAUAGCCUUGAUGUUUGAAGGACAGCUUGUGGAUUUAAAAUUCUUGGUUCAUACUUUCUUUCACUGAGUUUUAACAAUGUUGGUCCGUUGUUGUCUUACUUACUGUUGGUUUUGAAAAGCCUGAUGCCAGCCCAGUUCUUUGCACGUUCAUUGAUCUCUUUGCCCAGGGGCCUUGAGGAUUUAUCUGUGAAAUCUGAGCAUUUAAUCAGGAUGUGACUCAGAGUCUGUCACUCUGGGUUAAUUUUCCCAGGCACGUGUGAGCCCUCUCAUUUCCAGAUUCAAUUCUUUUCCUGUCUCUGGAAGUUUUCUUGGAUGAUAGUUCUAAGUAUCAGCUUUGUUCUGUUGUUGUGUUUUCCCUUCCAGGAGCUCUGGUUUGUGAACACCAUUCCUUCUUUGUCUCCCAUUCCCGCUGCUUUCAUUUUACCCUUUUACUUCUUUCUUUAUGUCGUUUUCCUCCUGUUGGUCGUGUUCCUGUCUUUCCUCAGUGCCCUUUAUUAAUCUUCAUUUGAACUUACUUUGCUCAGGCGCUUUGUAAUGUACUCCUCAUUUCUGCAAUGAUUUUGACUUUUCCUUCCAUCACUUUCCGGAGCUCAUUCAACUCUCUUCCUUUCUCCCUGUUUUCUCCCUUUCUGUCUUUAAUUUUGCAUUUCUAGUUCAAGGUGGUUUUUCGAAUCCUCAGAUGUUUGUUUGAAUAUGUUUACUUGUGUUGCUGGAGUGUUGGAUUAGAAUUUUCUUUGCUUCAUGGUUGUUUUCCAGGAGGACAUUUCUGUGGUGUGGGGGUGUUUCUACAAGGUUGCUAGCCCAGGCACCUCUGGCAUCAGCUGGCCAAGUCCAGGCGCUGCACGCUUGUUUGUUUUGAUGACUGACGGGGGAGGGGUGCAUCUCCUGGUAUUAUGGUCCUCUUUUCUUGUAGUGCCCUAAACUUUCCCUUUUUCUUCUUUCUAUCUUCACGACCCAGUUGCCAAAGGGCACUUCUCCCUUCCUCUUUUGCUUUUUUUCUUUGCCAGAAGCUAUGGGCUUUGAAGGAUGCCUCUUUAAAUGGCGUCUGUCUGUUUAAACUGUGUGGACUCUGGGAUCCCUUCCCUGAGUCCAGGCUCUGUCCACCCAGGUGCUUUCAGAGCUUUUCUGGGGGCAUGCAGGUCACGCUCACCCCGUGCUCGUCUCCCUCUUCUGCCCUCGCUCACCAGAGCCCACGUUGUGGGUGUGGGCCGGCAGCACGAGGGGACCCCACAGUGGGAUCUGGUGGCUUUUCUCUUUUCACUAGUGUUGUUUUCAGAUUUUGGCGUUUUCUCUCCUUAGGUUAUGCCAAGGGUGUGGUCUGAUGUGGAAUUUACUCUCCCUUUUGUGUACUCAUACCAUUUGGGAAGAACUGCAGGGAAGUAACUGAGCUACACGAUUGCCCGCGUCUUCAGCCGCUUGGAGAUCAAGCACUUCUCCCAGGAGACCGUUCUGCCUGGUUUAAGGGGCUCAGAGUUUGACAUUUUUCAUUUUAAUCUUUAAGUAUCUGUUUUAAGACAUGUUAGAGAACAGUAAAACUAGCAGUCUAAACCCAUGAUACAAAGUGUCUGCAUUGAAUAAAUCCAUUACAUUUUUAAAAAGUCAACUUAGAAAAUAUUAAAUAAAUAAUAGUACAGAUAAUAAACAAGUUUGGCGCAAAUAUGAUAGUUUGCAAGUGACUGAAGUUGUGGAGCCGCUGUUGUAACUGGAAGUGUUUCCCGCGUCGGGCGGGAGCUGUCCAGCUGCCGGGGCUGUGGGCUGACCAGGGAGCCAGAGGAGUGUGGCUGUGGGCAGAGGACGACUCCAUGGCCAUUUGCAAAGGUCGUCCCACCUCUCCAACCUCUGUGGCAGUGAAAACAUUGUUAUCCCGCAAAAUACACAAAGCCUUAGGACUUGGAGAGUGAAUAAUUUUUCCUUUAGCGUUAGAAGAUUGCUUUGGUGAUUUAUCUUCUUUAGUUCAUGGAAAAGCAGAAACCAAAUGCUAACUUUCCCAAAGGUUAUCUGUUAGGGACGUUGUGUGCAACUUUUGAAAUAAAUAACCUGAAUUUGCUCUUCAGUGUCACUAAGAGGAAGGAUUAUUCACAUGUGAAUUAUUCAUAUUGUAUUAAGAAAGUAUGUAACGUAACACUGGGCAACAUAUGUUGAAGCAUAUAACUAGCUUCUUGAACAAAAUUUAUGGGGUUUGUACAUUUUCAAUAUCAGUAAACCAGUCACAAUAGUUUAUUGCAGAAGUUUUGGCCAAAACUGUUAAAAUGACUAUUUAUAAAGCUAAGUAAAUAUCAGACAAUGCCAGAAAUAAUGAGGUUAAAUGUAAUUGAUGGUUGUUAUUCCUGAAAGAUGAAGUUUACAGUCCUCUCCUCAAACACCCUAUAAACUUUCCCAGCUCCACAGGGUCUGUAUUGGCAGCUGAAGUUUUCAGAAUUCAAUUCAAUUUGAGUGUUGUGUGCUUUAUGAGGCCAUCUCAGGGAAAUUUUCUUGUUGCAGAAACGGGCAUGCAGAAGACUAGAUGCAGCUGUGCAGGAGUGGGGCUGCGCCCAGGUGAGGGCCAGCACCCUGGGCUCCUGGAGUGUCGAGGAGCUGGAGUUGAAGCACAGAGGCUGCCCCCUUGCGGCAAGGCCAGAGAGCGACCAGGCGCGGCCCGACGCGGGGAUUCCUCAGAAUGGUGGAGGGAGCUUGGCCCAGCCUUGCCCGAGAUGUAUUGCGGGAGAAUCUGGACAUUUUAACCAUACUGAGAAUCGUUAGAAGAUACGAGUUGGGAAAGGAAGAUUCCGAUUCUGGUUUUGAACCUGGCCUGUGACAGCGAAUAUCGGUCUCAUGGAUGGAUGUGGGCACCACCUGUUCAAACAGCAGCCCGCCGUCCCCUCAGUCAGGUACCCGGCCAUCCGCACAGAGCCGGAGGGGCCCUCGCCGCGCGGGAGCCGGCACACCCUCAGUGCUCGCCGCUCCUGCCUUCAGACGGAUCUCGCUCUAGAAGGAGAUCAGCUGCAUUAUUUACAAGUUGAAAAGACUCAGUGUCGAGCUUCCUGUGAGGUUGAGGACCCCGUGGCCUCUGGAACCGUGUCCAGACACAGCCCUGCUUUUACACUGUUCAGUUGUUCCGUGGAGCAUCCAGGGCUGCUUCUCUACUCUCUUUAAUUAAAAGACUUAUUUUUAUAUUUAAAAUGCUUAUAAUCUUAAACUGAAUUUUACUAAAUGCUGGUAUCCUAUCUGUUCUGUGUAAUUCUCCAGCUGAAGUUAUCAGACAUGGGACCCCUUUUAUAUUAAAAUGGAGAUUUCUCAUUUUCUCUUGGGUUUCCAGUGUCUCGUCUGACUGGCGACUGGUGUCAUUUCCCUUGGUCUCAAGGCUUCCUGAGAUGUCCUGUGCACAGGAUAGACAAGGUCCCAGUGAAGCCUCUGGGUUGCUCUCAGGCUCUUUACCCUUCAAACCAGAGGCAGGCCGAAGGGCCUGUGCUCUGUGUUCACUGUGUCGUCCACGUGGCCAUGUUCUCUCCCUCAGCGUUGGCACUCUGCAGAGCCCAGGCCUUAAGCAAUCACGGUAUGUGGUUGUGGAGGGCAUUUCAUGUUGGAAAGGUGGAGGGACGGGACAGAACACAGGUGUGGCAAGGACACAAGUACAGUACCCUUAGUGCUCUGGGUUAUCCCGAAUCCAGGACACGCUGCCGUGUUGCGGGAAACACAGCUGAGUCCUGCCCCGGCGUCUUUGGGGGUCACUAAACACUUAACCCCGAGAAAGAUCACAGAACUGGGACUAGAGGAGGAAACGCCAGUCCUGUGGGAACAGCCAAGGCUGACAGAGGGAGAGAAGCGAUUGAGAUUUGUGGCCUUAAAAUGUAUGCUUUUAAAGAGCUUUAGUUUACUCCUCUCUUUUCAAAAUGAGAUGGACGUCUUAAGUUUUAUGGAAAAAAUGAAAAUUCUUAGAUUGACAACAUUUUCUUUUUGUGUGUCGGCUCUUCCUUCUCCCCCAGAUUCAUGGGGAGAGGAGAUGUCCACACGUUUGCAGCUAGGUAUUUGGUAAUUGAAGCAGCAUGCAAAUCGCUGUAGCUAUUUACGAGUCGAAAGCGGUUUUUUAGAGAAUAUGCACUAGGCAUCCUGCCUGCUGGGAAACACCCCUGCCUUAGAGUCGGACAGACUUGGGUUCAGCUCCCAUCUCCCCCACAGUGUCUAGCCGUGCGACCUUGACCAGUCCUUAGUGUCUGUGAGCCUCACUCUCCCCAUCUGUGAGAUGGGGUGAUGACCACGGGGCUUAUUGUUGGCAUGAAACACAGGAGCAGACACAAAGGGCUUGGUGACUACACAGUGUGCCCUCCCUUGCCCUCAUCGCACAGCCCCUCAAAAACCAAAGCAGGCAUUCUUUUCUGGAAAAGCAAAAGGACACAAAAGUUUACAACUGUGAAAAUGACAGAAGGAGAAGUGAAGUCAGCCAGAAUUUGGGGAACCAGCAGUUUAUCAUGAAUUCCUGCAACAUGGACAGGCUUGUCGCAGGGCACCUGGGUGCUGUGGCCUCAGCAUUGCCUCCACAUUUUCAGUCAGUUUAGUGCAGCUCAUAAAGUAGAAUGCACUGAGGUUCUAUGCUUCCGGAACCAUCUUCGUGCACACUCAGAGCCCAUCCUAGCCCAUCUGCCUGCCCCAGCAGAGACCCUCGGUGCAGCACAAGCCUGGCAGCCCAUCCUCCGGCCCACCCCACCCUUUGGCCUCCCCUGGCUCCAGAAUCGUCCCUAGUCACUAGGAUGGCCUCCACUCCCUGCCCAACCCUCCUCCUUUUGGGCCCUGCAGCCUGAUACAUGCGAGGGAAAUGAACAUUUUGGUUAAACUUUUUUGUUUUAAUUGACUUUUUUAUGAUGAUAAACAUAAUACCUGUUUAUUGUAAAAAAGUGUGGAAAAUAGAGAAAGGAAAAUAAAAACCGCUACCCCAGAUUGCCACCAUCGACCUGCUGGUACACUGCUCUCCAGGGGUGGGCUUCUCUUUUAUUUCUAACUAAAUGUUAUAUGGUGAACAUUCUCCCUAGGGAAACGUUGUUUUGAAAGGUGGCAGGAUAUUCCACGUUGGAACAGGGCAUCGUUGUGACAACUCUGACACCAAGUGUGCCUGUUUUGUUUGAAAAGUCUGUUUUAAAGUCUGUGAGAAGUGUGGCGAGCCUCUGUCUGUGCACAGUGAAGCCCAGGCCCAGAUGUUGGGGUGACCAGCAGGAGGUGCCACCGCUCAUCCUGCUGGUGUUACCUGGAAGGGUGCGGCCGGGGUUUGGCCUCCUCACGUGAGAACAUCUCUCCCUCCCUGCCAGAUCAAUUUGUCAGCACCACAGGUCCUGACGCAGAUUAGCUAACAGGCAAAUCCGC